rnacentral:rRNA from 1 species
AGUGAACGCUGGCGGUAGGCCUAACACAUGCAAGUCGAACGGCAGCACAGUAAGAGCUUGCUCUUACGGGUGGCGAGUGGCGGACGGGUGAGGAAUACAUCGGAAUCUACUUUUUCGUGGGGGAUAACGUAGGGAAACUUACGCUAAUACCGCAUACGACCUACGGGUGAAAGCAGGGGGUCUUCGGACCUUGCGCGAAUGAAUGAGCCGAUGUCGGAUUAGCUAGUUGGCGGGGUAAAGGCCCACCAAGGCGACGAUCCGUAGCUGGUCUGAGAGGAUGGUCAGCCACACUGGAACUGAGACACGGUCCAGACUCCUACGGGAUGCAGCAGUGGGGAAUAUUGGACAAUGGGCGCAAGCCUGAUCCAGCCAUACCGCGUGGGUGAAGAAGGCCUUCGGGUUGUAAAGCCCUUUUUUUGGGAAAGAAAAGCAGCAGGUUAAUACCCCGCUGUUCUGACGGUACCCAAAGAAUAAGCACCGGCUAACUUCGUG